CACACGGUAAACGAUGAAUGCUAGGUGUAGGGGGUAUCGACCCCUUCUGUGCCGGAGUUAACACAAUAAGCAUUCCGCCUGGGGAGUACGGUCGCAAGAUUAAAACUCAAAGGAAUUGACGGGGGCCCGCACAAGCAGCGGAGCAUGUGGUUUAAUUCGAAGCAACGCGAAGAACCUUACCAGGUCUUGACAUCCAGUAAAGCCUGUAGAGAUACAGAGUCCCUUCGGGGGUACUGAGACAGGUGG
rnacentral:rRNA from 1 species